rnacentral:rRNA from 1 species
UACGGGGGGGGCAAGCGUUGUUCGGAAUUACUGGGCGUAAAGGGCUCGUAGGCGGCCAACUAAGUCAGACGUGAAAUCCCUCGGCUUAACCGGGGAACUGCGUCUGAUACUGGAUGGCUUGAAUCCGGGAGAGGGAUGCGGAAUUCCAGGUGUAGCGGUGAAAUGCGCAGAUAUCAGGAGGAACACCGGUGGCGAAGGCGGGUCUCUGGGCCGAUACUGACGCUGAGGAGCGAAAGCGUGGGGAGCGAACAGG